rnacentral:rRNA from 1 species
AUUCCAGCUCCAAUAGUGUAUACUAAAGUUGCUGCAGUUAAAAAGCUCGUAGUUGGAUUUCGGUUAAUAGGAUGUUAGUCUACUUUUUUAUAAGUACGCACUGACAGCCUAUUUCCUUCUUUUCACAUAUACAAUUUAUUGUGUUGUGUAUCUUUUACUUUGAGAAAAUUAGAGUGUUCAAAGCAGGCGUAACAAAGCCUUUGAAUAUAUUAGCAUGGGAUAAUGAAAUAAGACUUUUUGCCUUAUUCUCGUUGGUUUUUGGGGCUAAAGUAAUGAUUAAUAGGGAUAGUUGGGGUCAUUAGUAUUUAAUUGUCAGAGGUGAAAUUCUAAGAUUUAUUAAAGACUGACUACUGCGAAAGCAUUUGACAAGGAUGUUUUCAUCG